GACGAACGCUGGCGGCGCGCCUAACACAUGCAAGUCGAACGGGGAAAAGCGAAGCACUGUGUGCUUCGCUAAUGUACAAUUUACAAUUUACAAUUGAGGAAUCCGCUGCGCGGAUGAUAUUAAGAUCAGCCGCCGAAGGCGGCCGCUUAAUUGAACAUUGUACAUUAGAAGAAGGGGAGCACAGAGUGCUUUGCUUGACCUAGUGGCGGACGGGUGAGUAACGCGUGAGCAACCUGCCUUUAACAGGGGAAUAACGUCUGGAAACGGACGCUAAUACCGCAUAACAUAUAACCCUGGCAUCGGGGAUAUAUCAAAGGAGAAAUCCGGUUAAAGAUGGGCUCGCGCCCGAUUAGGUAGUUGGUGGGGUAAAGGCCUACCAAGCCUGCGAUCGGUAGCCGUACUGAGAGGUAGAACGGCCACAUUGGGACUGAGACACGGCCCAGACUCCUACGGGAGGCAGCAGUGGGGAAUAUUGCACAAUGGGGGAAACCCUGAUGCAGCGACGCCGCGUGAGUGAAGACGGUCUUCGGAUUGUAAAGCUCUGUCGAGGGGGACGAAACAAAUGACGGUACCCCUUAAGAAAGCCACGGCUAACUACGUGCCAGCAGCCGCGGUAAUACGUAGGUGGCAAGCGUUGUCCGGAAUUACUGGGUGUAAAGGGAGCGUAGGCGGGAUAUCAAGUUGGGUGUGAAAAGCACAGGCUCAACCUGUGAGGUGCACCCAAAACUGAAAUUCUUGAGUGAUGUAGAGGCAGGCGGAAUUCCCAGUGUAGCGGUGAAAUGCGUAGAUAUUGGGAGGAACACCAGUGGCGAAGGCGGCCUGCUGGGCAUUAACUGACGCUGAGGCUCGAAAGCGUGGGGAGCAAACAGGAUUAGAUACCCUGGUAGUCCACGCGGUAAACGAUGAUUACUAGGUGUGGGUGGACUGACCCUAUCCGUGCCGGAGUAAACACAAUAAGUAAUCCACCUGGGGAGUACGGCCGCAAGGUUGAAACUCAAAGGAAUUGACGGGGGCCCGCACAAGCAGUGGAUUAUGUGGUUUAAUUCGAAGCAACGCGAAGAACCUUACCAGGUCUUGACAUCCCGUGCAUAGCGUGGAGACACGUGAAGCCCUUCGGGGCACGGAGACAGGUGGUGCAUGGUUGUCGUCAGCUCGUGUCGUGAGAUGUUGGGUUAAGUCCCGCAACGAGCGCAACCCUUACGAUUAGUUGCUACGCAAGAGCACUCUAAUGGGACUGCCGUUGACAAAACGGAGGAAGGUGGGGAUGACGUCAAAUCAUCAUGCCCUUUAUGACCUGGGCUACACACGUAAUACAAUGGCAGCAAACAACGGGAAGCAAAGCCGCGAGGCGGAGCAAAACCCGAAAAGCUGUCUCAGUUCGGAUUGCAGGCUGCAACCCGCCUGCAUGAAGUCGGAAUUGCUAGUAAUCGCGAAUCAGCAUGUCGCGGUGAAUACGUUCCCGGGC
rnacentral:rRNA from 2 species